UGGAUAACAGCGAGUGGUCUUGAGUGCCCU
rnacentral:piRNA from 1 species